GCCUGUUUUGUUUGCCACUUGUAAUAUAUAAUGCUUGACUCGUAUUACUUUAGGCUGUGAGAAAUAAUUGUCAUUGAAAUCUUGCUCUGUGAUUUAGUAACCUUCUAGUAUUUGUGUGUGUUCACCUUGUGUACUAGUUAACUUUGUAUGUGCUUGAACCCAUCUAAAUAACUAGUCUCUGUAUUACCUAUGUACCUGUGACAUAUAUGCUUGUGAUAUAAUCAUUUUCCUGUUGUCCCAUAAUCUAGUUUCCUCUUUCUGUCAUAUGCUUGCUAGAUAUAUAUGUCCAUGUCUUUUGACUUCCUUUGUCAUUGAUGUUAGUAUUUUAAUUUCUCAAGCAUUACGAAAACACCAAAAAGACAAUGAGUAAAAUCUGAAUCUCCCUGUGCUCUUUGCAUUUUCUUUGUCGUCGACUUUGGUUAGUUUAGGUCUAUAUUUCCUCGCAAUCAUCAUCUGAAUUCUGUCACCUAGCUUUAGCCGAGCAUCGUUGCUGUCGCCUAGUCCCUGUGGAGAACACGACACUCGCAGUUUGGGUGUAAAACCCCACUGUACUCACAAUAGAUCAUUUUGGCAUCGUUGCCGGGGACUAGCGUCGAGCGAUUGUGCGAAGCUAUAUACUAGGCAUAGUAUAGUUUUUGUUUAAAUUUCCAGUCAAAUUUAUUUCUGUGUUUCUUUUACCUUUUUACUUUUUGUUGCUUCGACUUAUUAGGAUACUAACCCUCUCACCAGUGUUUGAUGUUUGUGAGCGUGUGUAGCAUAUCUUAUUAUUUGUAGGCCGAUUGAUAGUUGCACUUGAACAUAUGGCUUUAGUACGUGAUCUUUGGUUGCCAAGUAGUUUGGACACAAUGACAGGGCCAAUUUGGCCAUCUAUUGAGGCCAAAAAUUUUGAGUUGAGGCCUGGACUUAUUGCUCUCGUCUUGCAUAAUCAGUUUAGAGGAUUACCCAAUGAAGACCCUCAUGAGAAUAUUAGUAAUGUUCUGGAGUAUGCCAAUACAGUCCAGUACCAUGGCAUUUCCCAAGAUGCUAUCAAGUGUAUGUUUUUCACAUUCUCUCUCCGAGAUUCUGCUAAGGACUGGUACUAUUCUUUGCCAUCAAGAUCAUACACUUGGGGUGAUAUUUCACAAGCUUUCUUGCACAUAUAUUUUCCACUUUACAAGCAAGGUGCAAUUCGUGACCAGAUCCUCAACUUUGCACAAGAUAGAAGUGAGAGCUUGUAUGCAGCUUGGGAGAGAUAUAAGUAUUUGCUUAGAAAAUGUCCUAAUCAUGGGCAAAAGGAUUGGUUAGUGUUAUAGAUAUUCUAUAGAGGGCUAACACAUGCUUCAAGAGAUCUUAUUGAUAUGUCAGCUGGUGGAACAAUCAUGAACAAGACCGUUGAGGGUGCAAUUAUUCUCAUUGAGAACAUUGCCUUCUGCCAAAUGCAAUGGAGUUAUGAAGGGCCUAGUUCAAAUCUGAAGGUUGCAAGCUGUGUACAAUCAGAAGCCGUGUGUUCCAUAAGUGAACAGAAAUCAUCCAUGGUGCCUAAUAUUCAAAAUCAACAUGUUUCAUUCUGGGGACAACAACAUUUCAGAACUGAAUUAGAGCCUCCAUAUAGAAACAUUGAUCUUACUUCAAUUAUACUUGAUGAUGAUUACAAUAUUUUCCAAGAUGAUGCAACCACUGUUGAUCAGAUGGAUACCAUAGUAGCAAAUCCAAUACCUCAUGGCAAUUAAACUAUUUACAAUGUGUCAAAGUUGCAAUAAGAGGUUUAUGAGGAAUCUACUCUGACUGACGCAAGGUUGAGACAACAAGAUAUGGAGAAAUUCACUUGUGUUAGUCAGCUAUGUGACUGGUGGAAUUUAGUCGUAUCACCAAUUGCCCACACUUGUGUUACAACUGUAUCUAGACUAUUUGUCAAGAAGAAAUCAUUAGCUCCACCAGUGGUUACCUCUAUCAUAGUUAAAGAGAGUAUCUCAGAGAAGAAUAGUGAAGAUGAGAUUCCAACUCUUGCACAUACAACUAAGCAAGUCGGAGACAUUCCAAGGAGAGAGAUACAAGAGGUUGAGUCAAAUUUAGAAGAGUUGAUACUACAAUAUCCUGAGAAGAUCCCACAUGUUGCUGAGCUGCAUGACUGGAGGAAGUCAUCAGUGUCACUGUUGAAACUUAGCAGUGAUGUUGAUGAGGAGAACAUUGCUCAUAAAGACAGCGAGGUAGUGAUCUCAGCACCCCUACUAGAUCAUGUUAGUGAAUAUUCAUAGAUGGGGACACUUCAGACUCAAUUAGGUGUUGUUGGUAGUAGCACCAUAGAAGAUCCAGAGGAACAGAUACCUCAACUUGAAGAAGAUUUACAAGAAGACAAGGAAUAAGAUGAUCAAGAGCUUGAAUGCCCAAGUGAUCAAGACGAAGAUUCGUUGCCUAUCACUCCUGAAGAAGUACAAGAAGCUGCUGUAGUUGAACUUGAGGAACCAAAAAUUCAUUUGCCUAUCAUCGUACAAGAGCUUGAUCUAGCAGGUUUAUCUAAUCCUCUCAAUGACAUGUGUCCUUAUGAUUCCUUUGCUUCUACCUUGCAUUGCAUGAUGCAAUCUGUUAAAGUAGAUUUGAAAAAGUAUUUGCUUGGAUAUGAUCAUAUAUACCCUGUUAGUGGCAUUACUCACAUUAGUGAUGAUCACAGUUACUUUCCUCGUGCUAGACCUAUGCUUAAUGAAACAUAUCAUUCUUAUGCUAGUCUUGAGCUUAAUGAAAAAUAUCAUCCUCAUGUUAGUGUUGACCCUGAUUUCUACCAUCCUAAACAUGUGCUUUAUAGCUAUGCUUAUGUAAUUGGAUAUUCGAUUGAUGACUUGGAGGGUAUUAUCCCCACCACUUGCAUUGUCUCUUUAGUUGAGAGUUCUUUCAGGUUUUUGCUUGUGCACGAUCCACUACAUGCUGACCAGGUUCGAGGUGACAUUCCUUGGGAUCCCGGUGGAUUCAGAACAUGGUGAUGAGGAGAAGUAGAGGAGCACACAUGAAGAAGAGCGAAGCAGGAGCGUGCACGAGGAUAGAGAGCAUGAGGAUAGAGAAGCAAAAGGAGAGGAGUCACAAUGCAAGAGGAUGUGAGAUGAUCGAGCAAGUGCUACAUGAUGAAAACCCGGUGAGCUAUUUCAUGUCCCCAAUCUGAAUAUAUCAUCCAUUGAUACAUGCUGAAAUCAUUUGAUAUUUGGGUUGCUUAAGCCAUUUCUUAAAUGUUGUUCCACUGAAUUUCAUUUGACAUAUUGUGCACGAUGUGAACAUGUAAACCGAUUGUGGAAUGCCUUGUAAACUAGUGAUCUAUACCUUGCUUGCUUUGCUGAAAUUAGUGAAAGUUAUUAGUUUUGAGUGCUCAGAUCCCUAGUACACUAGAAAACUCCAUCAUUUUCUGCAUUUACUUUGAUACACCUAGAUCAUUAAGUGUUAGAUGCCGAUUUUGUGCCAAGUGUGUUCCCAUUCAGAGCAAUCACUUAACCACUAUGGAUUAGCAUGCUAUGUUCUCUGGAUCGAUAGCAUGUGAACCAGACAUGGAUGGGUGAUGAUUCUUGUUUCCUUCUUUAUGUUUCAUGCCAUUGUAAUUCCUUUGUUCAAUAUGUAAUAAUGAAUAUAAGUCUAGUCUACCAACAGUAGCAUGUCAUGUUCCCUGGAUCAGUGGCAUGUGAAAUUUGGUAGCUUGGACAGUAAUAAAUAAAUAAAAAUGCAAUAUUUGUCGAACUAGGUGUAUACCAUGUUCUCGGGAUCGGUGGUAUGUUCCUUUGGGGAGACAAACAAAAAAUAUAUAAUUGGUCGAGCCAGGUGUAUACCAUGUUCUCGGGAUCGGUGGUAUGUUCCUUUGGUGAGACUGAUAAAAUAUUAUCAGUGCUUACUUGAAAAUUCAAUAAGUAGUUUAGCCACAAUGUUGUGUUCCUGGUAACAAGUAUUUCUCGGGAUCAUGCUCUCUUUAGGAACCUUUUGGCACAAUCCGCAUUUAAACUUGUUGAUCCACUUUUAUCAUUGUAGAAGUUUAAAAUGAUCGAGUCUACUAGUAUCCUAUUGCUUUGUAGCAUCCUAACCAUUAAUCUUCACUAACUAAGUAUGAAGCAGCAUUGUUUGGAGAUCUACUUUACUAGGACCUUCUUUAGUCAGUUCACUGUUCAUACUCUUGCUCUUGUCAUAUGCCUUUGCUUGAGGACAAGCAAAGAUUUAAUUGUGGGGGAACUUGAUAGAGCAUUUCCUCAUAUAAUCUUUUUAGCCUUUUUGCAUCACAUUGCAAUCAUAUUUUCUCAUUAUUUACUCAAGAAAUAUUCGGAUGUUCCCGUUAUGUUACAUUUACAACACUCCUCCAUAUUUUGUAGAAAAGGGCAAAAAGGCCCAAAAUCCUUCUAUAAUGGAGAGUGUCAAGAAGUUGUGGGCGUGAAGAAAAAGAAGUAAUCAGAUGGGGCCAAACUUAAGAACAGGACCAACUUGUGCAGAAAGAAGAAAAGGACAGGGGCCAGCGUGCUACUGGAAGAUCUGAUCGACGGAAUCAAAUCCCUAGCGCUCUCAAUCCCCAAAUCGGGCCUGGCAACACCUCUCCUUACCCCAUCUCCAUCUCCACCACCGGUCACCACCACGGCCAGGCCGGCGUGGUGGUGCACCAUCCGCCCAACGCCAGCAUCUUCUUAUCCUUCCCCGAGUCCAGCAUCAUCCAUCCACAACGCCGCCACUAGCGCCACCAUCUCCAACCACCGUCGCCAGCAGCACCAAGCGCCACCCGCACUCGCUCUCCUUCCAACCUCGCGCGCCUGAGCAGACAGGGAGACCGUGGGCAUCUGACCCCCCGCGCGCCUCCACCUGCUUGUUUUCCUUGCUGAUUCCCUUUGCUGCUGCUCCUUUUCUUGCGUCUCUGCUUCUUCCUCUCUGAAUCCCUACUGUUGGUGCUCUUCUUCUUCCCUUUGCUGUUCUGAAUCUUCACAUUGCAGUUGUUCCUUCUCCUGCGCCCCCUAUUACUCUGUCACGCUGCUGCUCCUUCUUCUUCUCCAACUGCACUAUUUCUCCAUGCCCUUGCUGCUGCUCCUUCUCUCCAAGCUCCACUGCUGCUCUUUCCUUGUUGUGCCCUGCUGCACCUCCUCCUCUCAACGCCUCCUGCUGCUGCUACUCCCUUCCCCUCACUGCUACUCUUAUUCCUUACCUCCUCUGCUGCUGCUCUCUUUAGAUCUAUCUCUCUCUCUAUGAAUUUUCUAUAAGCUAAGAUGUGUAAAACUUUGUAACAUUCAGAUUUUAGGAGUGUUGGCAACCUGUAGCCUGUUCUGUUUGGUACUUGUAAUAUAUAAUGCUUGACUCGUAUUACUUUAGGCUGUGAGAAAUAAUUGUCAUUGAAAUCUUGCUCUGUGAUUUAGUAACCUUCUAGUAUUUGUGUGUGUUCACCUUGUGUACUAGUUAACUUUGUAUGUGCUUGAACCCAUCUAAAUAACUAGUCUCUGUAUUACCUAUGUACCUGUGACAUAUAUGCUUGUGAUAUAAUCAUUUUCCUGUUGUCCCAUAAUCUAGUUUCCUCUUUCUGUCAUAUGCUUGCUAGAUAUAUAUGUCCAUGUCUUUUGACUUCCUUUGUCAUUGAUGUUAGUAUUUUAAUUUCUCAAGCAUUACGAAAACACCAAAAAGACAAUGAGUAAAAUCUGAAUCUCCCUGUGCUCUUUGCAUUUUCUUUGUCGUCGACUUUGGUUAGUUUAGGUCUAUAUUUCCUCGCAAUCAUCAUCUGAAUUCUGUCACCUAGCUUUAGCCGAGGAUCAUUGUCGUCGCCUAGUCCCUGUGGAGAAGACGACACUCACAGUUUGGGCGUAAAACCCCACUAUACUCACAAUAGAUCAAGCAAUUAAUUCAUUUGCACAUUGAUCUUUUUGAGAAGAUAUGUCAUAAUUAACAUGUUUCUUCAGUGUUUCAAAAUAAGCAUAGGUGAUUUUCUAUGUUGCUA
rnacentral:lncRNA from 1 species